rnacentral:rRNA from 1 species
CUUUAUUGGAGAGUUUGAUCCUGGCUCAGGACGAACGCUGGCGGCGUGCCUAAUACAUGCAAGUCGAGCGGACAUCAGAGGAGCUUGCUCCUCUGAUGUUAGCGGCGGACGGGUGAGUAACACGUGGGCAACCUACCUGUAAGACGGGGAUAACUCCGGGAAACCGGAGCUAAUACCGGAUAAUAAAGAGAAAUGCCUGUUUCUUUUUUGAAAGUCGGUUUCGGCUGACACUUA